rnacentral:rRNA from 1 species
UACAGAGGGUGCUAGCGUUGUUCGGAAUUAUUGGGCGUAAAGGGCGCGUAGGCGGCCCUGUGUGUCGGGUGUGAAAGCCCACCUCUUAAAGGUGGAAUUGCAUUCGAAACUACAGGGCUGGAGUGUCGGAGAGGAUGGCGGAAUUCCUGGUGUAGAGGUGAAAUUCGUAGAUAUUGGGAAGAACACCGGUGGCGAAGGCGGCUAUCUGGACCGUAACUGACGCUGAGGCGCGAAAGCGUGGGGAGCAAACAGG